rnacentral:rRNA from 1 species
UUCCUACGGGACUCAUCAGUUAUUAAUCUUGUUCACUUUUCUUCAGCCUGAACCAGCCAAGUCGCGUGAGGGAAGAAGGCCCUGCGGGUCGCAGACCUCUUUGGACGGGGAGCAAGGCCGCCGACGUGUCGGCGGAAGGAGAGUACCCGUAGAACAAGCAUCGGCUAACUCCGUGCCAGCAGCCGCGGUAAUACGGAGGAUGCGAGCGUUAUCCGGAUUUAUUGGGUUUAAAGGGUGCGUAGGCGGAAUGCCAAGUCAGCGGUAAAAUCGCGGGGCUCAACCUCGCUCCACCGUUGAAACUGGCG